rnacentral:rRNA from 1 species
GAUGAACGCUCGCUACAGGCUUAACACAUGCAAGUCGAGGGGCAGCAUGGUCUUAGCUUGCUAAGGCCGAUGGCGACCGGCGCACGGGUGAGUAACACGUAUCCAACCUGCCGUCUACUCUUGGACAGCCUUCUGAAAGGAAGAUUAAUACAAGAUGGCAUCAUGAGUCCGCAUGUUCACAUGAUUAAAGGUAUUCCGGUAGACGAUGGGGAUGCGUUCCAUUAGAUAGUAGGCGGGGUAACGGCCCACCUAGUCUUCGAUGGAUAGGGGUUCUGAGAGGAAGGUCCCUCACAUUGGAACUGAGACACGGGCCAAACUCCUACGGGAGGCAGCAGUGAGGAAUAUUGGUCAAUGGGCGCAGGCCUGAACCAGCCAAGUAGCGUGAAGGAUGACUGCCCUAUGGGUGGUAAACUUCUUUUAGAAAGGAAUAAAGUCGGGUAUGGAUACCCGUUUGCAUGUACUUGAUGAAUAAGGAUCGGCUAACUCCGUG